GACGAACGCUGGCGGCGUGCUUAACACAUGCAAGUCGAACGAUGAAGAAGGGAAACGCGAACUUCGGUUCAAAUUUCACUUCGGAUUAGUGGCAGACGGGUGAGUAACGCGUGAGCAACCUACCUCCUACAAAGGGAUAGCCUCGGGAAACCGUGAUUAAUACCAUAUGACACAUUCAUAAGGCAUCUUAAGAAUGUUAAAGCUACGGCGGUAAGAGAUGGGCUCGCGUCCCAUUAGCUAGUUGGUGAGGUAACGGCCCACCAAGGCGACGAUGGGUAACCGGCCUGAGAGGGUGAACGGUCACAUUGGAACUGAGACACGGUCCAAACUCCUACGGGAGGCAGCAGUGGGGAAUAUUGCACAAUGGAGGGAACUCUGAUGCAGCGACGCCGCGUGAGCGAUGAAGGAAUUCGUUUCGUAAAGCUCUGUUCUAUGGGAAGAAAAGGACUGUACCAUAGGAGAAAGCCCCGGCUAAAUACGUG
rnacentral:rRNA from 1 species